rnacentral:lncRNA from 1 species
GUGUGAGGUGGUGCUAUGUAGCAGGAACCCCUCUUGCUUUGCAAAUAGUUUUUUGUUUGUUUUCCUUUUUGCCCAAUAGAGCCCUGCUCUACUGACCCUUCAAUGUGCCCGUGUGCCUAAAUAUUCCUGGUCGUGUGAAAAGAACCCAGGUAUUAGCUGAACUAAGGAGCACAAUUCUGCAACAUUUUGGCACCCAAACACGGGGCUUGAGAAAUGAAUGCAAUUGGAGAAACUGGUUGUUUUACCAGGCGUUGAUUGGAAAUGUGUGCUUCCCUUUAAGCAGUCAAGCUCAACUUGCAGAACUGAUGGGAACCCCUUGGGAAAACUGGCCUCAAAUGUUUGUCUACACAGUCCACAUACAGGGUUCUUAACCUGCGGUGAGUAAAGAAUGUCACUUUCCAACAGGCCCAGAUAUCAUAUGCUCUUGGGACCUCAAGAAGAGAGGAGUUUACCCAAUUCAUAGGUGUGUGAGGAUAAAAACCUAGGGCUGGGCUCAGCUUUAAAUGGUCUUAUCUGAGAUUCUUUGUGAAACAGAUUUUCAUGAAAGCCAAUCUAGAGGGCCUACGUAGAAAUAAUUGUUUUUGCUGCACUUUAUGCACAUAAUCAAGCCAAUUAUAAGACUAAAGUCUAUAUUGCAAGCAACACACUCCUAUUAUGAUUUGUUUUUAACAGAAAUGAGGACGAGACAGAGAGAAAUUAUGUUUCAAAACUUAUCAUCAUUAGUUUCUAGACUUAUUAUUUCUUUUUAAGUUUUUACCUACAUUUUAGACUGACCCUGCUUGUGCCUGUGAACCAACCAACAAUCUCUGGCUGCAGCUCAGAAAGGACAAAAGAGAAUGGAUGAGGGAAACUUCCCAGGGCUUGUCUGGGUAUGCCCACAGUGGACUGGAGCCCAAAAUGCACACUGGAGGAAGUGGAUGGAGCCACGUGGAUGUCAUGCCUUAUGCAGGGGAGGAGCCUGCUCUCUUCAGCUCCUGUGGUAAUGUGGGAAUCGAUCUGUGAGAUUCCAUGAACUCCAAGUUAAGAACACAUGAUCUGGAUGUUUGACAAAAUACCUUCAGCAGGAAUAAUGAAAGCCCUGACAUUUCUGUGUGCAUAAAAACUGGAAAACUUUAAAAGUAAUAAAUCACCAAGUCUUUAUAAAAA